rnacentral:rRNA from 1 species
UAGAUACCCUGGUAGUCCACGCCCUAAACGAUGUCAACUAGUUGUUCGGUGAGGAGACUCAUUGAGUAACGCAGCUAACGCGUGAAGUUGACCGCCUGGGGAGUACGGCCGCAAGGUUAAAACUCAAAGGAAUUGACGGGGACCCGCACAAGCGGUGGAUGAUGUGGAUUAAUUCGAUGCAACGCGAAAAACCUUACCUACCCUUGACAUGCCAGGAACUUGCCAGAGAUGGCUUGGUGCUCGAAAGAGA